rnacentral:rRNA from 1 species
CCACACCGUAAACGAUGGAUACUAGAUGUAGGAGGUAUAAACUCCUUCUGCGUCGAAGCUAACGCGAUAAGUAUCCCGCCUGGGGAGUACGGCCGCAAGGUUGAAACUCAAAGAAAUUGACGGGGACCCGCACAAGCAGCGGAGCAUGUGGUUUAAUUCGAAGCAACGCGAAAAACCUUACCAAGACUUGACAUCGUAUGACCGCCUAAGAGAUUAGGAAUUCCCUUCGGGGACAUAUAGACAGGUGGUGCAUGGUUGU